GACGUAGGAGGCGAGCGUUAUCCGGAAUCACUGGGCGUAAAGGGCAAGUAGGCGGUUGUUCAAGUUGGGCGUGACAGAUCUCGGCUUAACUGAGAGAGGACGUUCAAUACUGAGCGACUAGAGGGCAGGAGAGGAAAGUGGAACUCCCGAUGUAGCGGUGGAAUGCUCAGAUAUCGGGAAGAACACCGGUGGCGAAGGCGGCUUUCUGGCCUGUACCUGACGCUGAGAGGCGAAAGCUAGGGGAGCGAACGGGCUUAGAUACC
rnacentral:rRNA from 1 species